AAGGGUGUAACUCAGUGGUAGAGUGCGUGCUUAUCAGACACGAGGUCCUGGGUUUAAUCCCCAGUACCUCUA
rnacentral:tRNA from 1 species